rnacentral:lncRNA from 10 species
CCUGCAGACAGCACAAACCUCCAAAUAUUUCAAAUAGAAAUUCCUGGCCAGAAGGUAAAAAUGGCUAGUCGGUGAUAAGAACUAUGUUUAAAGGCCAAAAUAGAACAAAGCUAACCUCCUUCAUUGCAAACGCACAAGAUGCCAUUUAGAAAAACAUUGAUGCAAAAAAUCAACUUGCAAAAAAAAAGAAAUGUAUUAGUCCAUUCUCAUGCUACUGACAAAGACAUGCCUGAGACUGGGUAAUUUCUAAAGCAAAGAGGUUUAAUUGACUCACAGUUCCACAUGGCUGGGGAAGCUUCACAAUCAUGGCAGAAGAUGAAGGAAGAGCAAAGGGACGUCUUACGUGGUGGCCAGAAAAGAGAGAAUGAGAACCAAGUGAAAGGGGUUUCCCCUUAUAAAAACAUCAACUCUCGUGAGACUUACUCACUACUAUAAGAACAAUAUGGGGGAAACCACUCCCAUGACUCAAUGAUCUCC